AUCGCCGAACGGUUAUUGGUGUUGAUUUUAACGAUGAUUCAAGAUGUUCCUACUCCUUGAACUAUCAAAUCAGCGACACAAACCAUCGUUCAAUCCUCGGGGUCUUUGAUUUUAGCUGCGAGUGGUCGUUACUUGACGAUCACGAUCGACCCCAGAUCCAUUUGCCGCUGGUACGUGCUACAUCAUGACAUCUAAUGCAGAAGAGUUAUCAUCGUUGUUAUUGCCAAAAGCAAUCAUUACGUUCGCUUUCUUUGUUUCUUUUGUCUCGGCGAACGUCGGUUAAACGUUGGAUAAUUGUUACCUUGCUCUUAUUCGGUGUAAACACUUGCGAAUAAUGCAGAAAAUGUUAACAUGAGGAAUGCCAGGUGGUGGGGAGACAGCAGACAGCAUUUGCCACAGGACAUAUGAUUUUGGUGCACUGACCUGGUGACGAAAAAUAACUCGAGGAAGGUCGGCCAUUGAUGAACCACGGUUGCAACUCCAAAGUUCGAGAUCCCACCAUUUGGAUGCAUUCAGUGACAUAAAUAAAUACAUCCAAUCGUUCCAAUUGCAUUAAUUGAUUUUUUUUGCUGGACUCCGAUGUUAUCUGGAGGAAUCAGUCAAAAAUCUUCAUUUUUUUAAGAUCAAUUUUUUAUUUUUACAGUGACAAUAAUUUUUUUUUUGAUUUUUGGAAUGUUUACUGAGUGGAGGGAGGAACAUUCCAGUAAUAGGUAAGCAAUCGCAGCACGGUGAUCUCGCCUAGGAGGGAUGAUCGACGGUGAUGAUUAACAUGUGCUUUGACAACAAAAUUUGGCCUUCAACUUUGAUGGGUCAUUGCCAACUCUCUGGCCUGCCUCACUGGAAUUCAAAAGAGAGGAGAAUUGCUGGGCUGUUUUGCUUGCAGUGGAAGUCCCUAAUAAGGAAAAAUGGAUAAAUAAAACUAGAUAGCAAAUAAGUUUUUGCUUAACAUUUUAUAUUUGUUAUUGUGUGGAAUUUAGACAGUCUAUUGCUCAUGCCCAUCGUGACGUCUGAUUUUUUAUCGCAGAUCUAAAAAUAAGUGGUACGGAAAUCAGUCAGAAAAAUGGAAAAAUUCCCCUGGAUUUUUGAUCAACUAAAAACAUAGUAUUAUGUAAAAUAAUUAAUUUACUAAGACAAAUAAAAGAAUAAAUUUUAAAGGUUUAACUGCAGUACAUAUCAGCUAUUUACAUUACAUAUUCAUUCAAGUAAUAAAUUUUCAAAAUCACAUAUAUUUCUUGUAAAGAUAAAGAUCUUCAGCUCGUUAAGAAGGAUUUAAGAAAAUAAUAUCGUGAUAAUAAAUCUAAUAAAUAUGGGCUCCACGGUUAAUAAGUAUUGCCUAGUUAAUUCAGUGAUUUUGAAAUUACAUUGAGACAUUAAAUAUGCGAAUUUUAU